rnacentral:rRNA from 1 species
CCUACGGGAGGCUGCAGUGGGGAAUAUUGCACAAUGGGGGAAACCCUGAUGCAGCGACGCCGCGUGAGUGAAGAAGUAUUUCGGUACGUAAAGCUCUGUCAGCAGGGAAGAAAAUGACGGUACCUGACUAAGAAUCCCCUGCUAACUACGUACCAGCAGCCGCGGUAAUACGUAGGGGGCAAGCGUUAUCCGGAUUUACUGGGUGUAAAGGGAGCGUAGACGGCAGCGCAAGUCUGGAGUGAAAUCCCAUGGCUUAACCAUGGAACUGCUUUGGAAACUGUGCAGCUAGAGUGCAGGAGAGGUAAGCGGAAUUCCUAGUGUAGCGGUGAAAUGCGUAGAUAUUAGGAGGAACACCAGUGGCGAAGGCGGCUUACUGGACUGUAACUGACGUUGAGGCUCGAAAGCGUGGGGAGCAAACAGGAUUAGAUACCCGUGUAGUC